rnacentral:rRNA from 1 species
AAUCCAUAGGUUAAUGAGGCGAACCGGGGGAACUGAAACAUCUAAGUACCCCGAGGAAAAGAAAUCAACCGAGAUUCCCCCAGUAGCGGCGAGCGAACGGGGAGGAGCCCAGAGCCUGAAUCAGCAUGUGUGUUAGUGGAAGCGUCUGGAAAGGCGCGCGAUACAGGGUGACAGCCCCGUACACAAAAGCGCAUGUGCUGUGAGCUCGAUGAGUAGGGCGGGACACGUGGUAUCCUGUCUGAAUAUGGGGGGACCAUCCUCCAAGGCUAAAUACUCCUGACUGACCGAUAGUGAACCAGUACCGUGAGGGAAAGGCGAAAAGAACCCCGGCGAGGGGAGUGAAAAAGAACCUGAAACCGUGUACGUACAAGCAGUGGGAGCACCCUUUUGGGUGUGACUGCGUACCUUUUGUAUAAUGGGUCAGCGACUUAUAUUCUGUAGCAAGGUUAACCGAAU